rnacentral:rRNA from 1 species
AGUGAACGCUGGCGGUAGGCCUAACACAUGCAAGUCGAACGGCAGCACAGGAGAGCUUGCUCUCUGGGUGGCGAGUGGCGGACGGGUGAGGAAUACAUCGGAAUCUACUCUGUCGUGGGGGAUAACGUAGGGAAACUUACGCUAAUACCGCAUACGACCUACGGGUGAAAGCAGGGGACCUUCGGGCCUUGCGCGAUUGCAUGAGCCGAUGUCGGAUUAGCUAGUUGGCAGGGUAAAGGCCCACCAAGGCGACGAUCCGUAGCUGGUCUGAGAGGAUGAUCAGCCACACUGGAACUGAGACACGGUCCAGACUCCUACGGGAGGCAGCAGUAGGGAAUAUUGGACAAUGGGCGCAAGCCUGAUCCAGCCAUACCGCGUGGGUGAAGAAGGCCUUCGGGUUGUAAAGCCCUUUUGUUGGGAAAGAAAUCCAGCUGGCUAAUACCCGGUUGGGAUGACGGUACCCAAAGAAUAAGCACCGGCUAACUUCGUGCCAGCCGCCGCGGUAA